UAGUGAAGAAAUUAUAUGAAAUGGAUAAGCAAUUAAAUGGUUUAAUUGAAGAAUGGUCAAAGUUAAUUAAUUAUACGAAAGGUUCGUAUUGGGCUUUUAAGUUAGUUUGGGCUUCGGGGUCCAAAAUUGUUUUGGUCCACUAGGCCCAUUAUGUUUAAGUUGUAUGACAACUAAAACAAAUAUGGGUAUUUAGCCCAAUAACAAAAGGAGGCCGGCCAUAGCAAGGGUAGUGGGAAUUUUUGCUUAAUUGCAAGUUUGCCACUAACCUAAGAGAUGAAGUAUAAAGUCAUCUUUAUAGCUUUGUUUCUAAAGAGGGGUUUUCUAAUAGAAAUUGGGUGAAACAUUUUCUCUCAUUUUCUACAUAGAGGCCGGCCACUUAGAGGAUUUUUACUAGCAUCUAAAAUCUCUCUAAGUCAUCCAUAUCAUCUUCACAAUAUACAUCUUUGGUGAAGAGACUUAGAGACAUCAAGCUUUUGAUGUUUUUGGAGAACAAAUCCUUUUUCCUCAAAUCAUCAAAGGAGCACUAAAGGGAGGAAAACACAAGGAGGAUUCAAAGAGCUUGGAGGUGACUUGAAGGCCCUCCACUUGGGUGAAUCCCUUGUGUAAACAAGGAUGAGCUUCAAGGGUAAAGAAUCACUUAAUCUUUACUUCUCUUUAAUGUUGUUAAAGAGUUUAUUUUGGUUCACCAUAUACUAGGCUUUGAAAGUCAUGGGUUUUAUGAAUUGUUUUUUAAUGCAUGCCUACUUUAAAGUGUUAAUAGCUUGCAUGAGUAUUCAAAUGUUCAUACUUGUUCUUAGCUAGGACAAAAUUUUUCCUUCAAGUGGUAUCAGAGCCUAGGCCUAGUGUAUGGUGAAUCCUUUUGGGUUUUGUGAUGUUCAUAUUUUGUGAUUUAAAUGUUGUAAAUGUUACAAGCUUUGUUCUUGCUUUUGAAUAUAUAAAUUUUGCUAGAAAAUUUAGCAUCUCAAAUGUUGUAGAUGUAUUUCAUUUAAGCAUGAAUAUGGGAACUAAAAUUUGGUGCCAUGUGUUUUGGGAAAUUCGGCCAAAUCCUUAGGGUGACUUUUUGGGUUCAUGUUUGUCUUGUUAAAAUGGUUUUAAGGUGACUUUUGGAACCCCUAAGUACCCUAGGAUAUUAGCCCUUUUUGAGAGGUGAAAAAUUGAGUUUUGGUGAAUGAAAAACAUCCAUGGGGCUAUUAUGAGUUUUCAUGGUGUUCUUCAAAUGUUCUUGAAGUUCUUGCCAAGAACAAAAAGGGUUUGAAGUUUUGAUUCAAAAGUUUUAUGUUUUUCAUAAAGUUUUGGUUUAAUUUUGAUGGGUGAUGGAUAUUGGUGAGAAGUGAUUAAAAGGAUUUAAUGUUUGUCAAAACUCAUAAAUGUUUUACAAAACUUUUUCUUACAAACCAUCAAUUUCACCUCACCCACCAAAAUCAACUUGCAUAUUGCACAUGCAUGCACUAAAACCCUUUCACACUUGUUCACACACCUCCUAGGCCGGCCACCCCAACAAGUGGGGUACUUUUGGGGCCUUUUGUGCAAUUACAUAAAGUUGUGAAAAUUUUGUGUUUUUGCAUUUUGGCCCAAAAGUACGUUUUUACGUUAAGGCCCUAAAACGCUAAAGGACAAAUUGUUUUGAUCCUUUAAUGAUGUUUUUACAUUAAUGAAUUUUUGGGUUCUAGGUGAAAUUACAUGAAGUUGUGGACUUUCGUGUUUUUCCAAAGUGACCCCAAAAGUUUUUGUAUUUGCAUUAUGGCCCAAAUGUUGUGGUCAUAGUUUCCUUUUGGCCCAAAUAAAAUGAGAACAAAAAUUGUUUUGUCUCUUUAAUGAGAAUUGGAUUUUCAUUCUAUUUAGUUCCAUUUAAAUCAAUUCUAUGGAUCCAAAAACCAAUUGUUUAAAGUUGUUUUCUUAGUUAAUAUGAUUGAUUAAGAAAAUGGUGAUUAUGAACCAAAGGCCACGAUAAUUGAGCUAUGUGAUUGGCCGAUAUACAUUAUGAAUGUUUGGGUUUUAGUAGUGUAGAUUUGAAUGUAAUUUGAUUAAUUCAAUUUGUUGUAAAUGGACAUAAGUCCAUCAUUUGAUUUAUGUUGUAAAAUGGCAUAAGCCCUUAUUAUUAUUUCAUGUAUUCCUUUUUGUUUAUAUGUAUGCAAAAUGGAAUAGUUGGGUCCAACGCCCAAUAGGAAAUAACGGUUUAAUUAGAUUAAACGCGUAACUAAAAUCAACAACUAUCUACCUUAAACCCAAGGUCCAACACAAGGCUCGUGUUGGAUCAAAUCAAACGGUUCAUAAUCAUCCUAAAACCUAAUAUGACUAUAUAGUCCAUAUGAGGAUGCAAUGCAUUCGUUAGUAGUUCCAUAUAGUCUCGCUUGUUUCAUCGAAACAGUGAGAGUAUUAUAUGCUACUAAUUCAUAUUAACUUGGACCAAUGGUUGUGAUAGGCCCAAGUUCUUUUAAUAUGAUUAAAAUGUUUUGAUGUAGCCCAAAACUACUCCCUCAAAUUAAAUAUUAUGUUGAUAAGUGAGAGAUGUUUUGAACAUCUCUUCGUAGGCCUUCCACCGUGGUGGGUUCCAAGCGUUUGUGACUCAUGCACCGGCUUCACCCUAUCAUGGGGAAGUACAAAGCAUGUGCUUACAUCCAGGAGGAAUCCAUAUACAUAUGAUGAGGUGAGUGUAGGCAACGAGGAUAGCCGACAUCGUAUCAUCGUGAGGCUAUUCUUGAACC
rnacentral:lncRNA from 1 species